CCCUUAGAUGUCCUGGGCUGCACGCGCGCUACACUGAUGUGUCCAGUAAGCACCUAACCUCUUCCGAAAGGAACGGGUAACCUUUGUAAAGCACAUCGUGAUGGGGAUAGAUUAUUGCAAUUAUUAGUCUUGAACGAGGAAUUCCUAGUAAGCACAAGUCAUCAGCUUGUGUUGAUUACGUCCCUGCCCUUUGUACACACCGCCCGUCGCUCCUACCGAUUGAAUGUUCCGGUGAGCUCUUCGGACUGCGCGGUCUGCAGUUUCUGCGUUCCGUGCGGAAAGUUGCGCAAACCUUAACAUUUAGAGGAAGGAGAAGUCGUAACA
rnacentral:rRNA from 1 species